GGGGAUGUCACGGUUUCGACCGGGAGCUGCGAUGGUGGGGACUGCGAGCCGAGGACGCCGACGUUACUCGUAAAACCAGCGGCAAAACAAACAAGUGCCAAAGCCAACUGCUUUGCCAUCCCGACGAUUGGUGGGAAUAGGGUAGCUAUCGCUGCCUAAAAACCCCCUAGUUUAGGGACACUCACUGCUUUCGCCGAUCGGGGCGGUGGGUAACUUUGAUCGGAUGCUCCCGGCGAUUGCUGACUAAACCGGGAAAAGACUAGCCAGCUAACGCUUCGUUCUCUGCGCCGAGGAGGGGAAUGCGGCGUGAAAUAAUUCCCAGGCUACGCUCGUAGAGGUCGCUAUGGUCGCCUUUCGGGACAGGGGUUCAAUUCCCCUCAUCUCCACCU
rnacentral:tmRNA from 1 species